GACGUAGGGGGCGAGCGUUGUCCGGAGUUACUGGGCGUAAAGGGCAUGCAGGCGGUCGGACGCGUUUCGGGUGACAGCGGGUGGCUUAACUACCCGAGUGGUCGAAAGACGGUUUGACUUGAGGACGCGAGAGGGACACGGAAUUCCGGGUGGAGUGGUGAAAUGCGUAGAGAUCCGGAGGAACACCGAAGGCGAAGGCAGUGUCCUGGCGCGUAACUGACGCUGAGGUGCGAAAGCCAGGGGAGCGAACGGG
rnacentral:rRNA from 1 species